AGUGUAGGCGGGAUCGUAAGUUAGGGGUUUAAUACAUGGGCUUAACCCAUGAGCUGCUUUUAAUACUGCGGUUCUUGAGUAUGGGAGAGGGCGAUGGAAUUCCAGGUGUAGCGGUGGAAUGCGUAGAUAUCUGGAAGAACACCAGUAGCGAAGGCGGUCGCCUGGCCCAAUACUGACGCUGAUGCUCGAAAGCUAGGGGAGCAAACAGGAUUAAAUACCCUGGUAGUCCUAGCCGUAAACGAUGGACACUAGUUGCUGGAGGAGUCAAUCCUUUCGGUGACGAAGCUAACGCAUUAAGUGUCCCGCCUGGGGAGUACGUUCGCAAGGAUGAA
rnacentral:rRNA from 1 species